rnacentral:rRNA from 1 species
GGGGAUAUUGCACAAUGGGGGAAACCCUGAUGCAGCGACGCCGCGUGAGUGAAGAAGUAUUUCGGUAUGUAAAGCUCUAUCAGCAGGGAAGAAGAUGACAGUACCUGAGUAAGAAGCCCCGGCUAACUACGUGCCAGCAGCCGCGGUAAUACGUAGGGGGCAAGCGUUAUCCGGAUUUACUGGGUGUAAAGGGAGCGUAGACGGUUGUAUAAGUCUGGAGUGAAAGCCCGGGGCUCAACUCCGGGACUGCUUUUGAAACUGUGAAACUGGAGUGCAGGAGAGGUAAGCGGAAUUCCUGGUGUAGCGGUGAAAUGCGUAGAUAUCAGGAGGAACACCAGUGGCGAAGGCGGCUUACUGGACUGUAACUGACGUUGAGGCUCGAAAGCGUGGGGAGCAAACAGG